rnacentral:rRNA from 1 species
UACGGAGGGUGCAAGCGUUAUUCGGAAUUACUGGGUGUAAAGGGCGUGUAGGCGGGACUGCAAGUCAGAUGUGAAAUUCCCAGGCUCAACCUGGGGGCUGCAUCUGAAACUGUGGUUCUUGAGUGCUGGAGAGGAAAGCGGAAUUCCUAGUGUAGCGGUGAAAUGCGUAGAUAUUAGGAGGAACACCAGUGGCGAAGGCGGCUUUCUGGCCAGUAACUGACGCUGAGGCGCGAAAGCGUGGGGAGCAAACAGG